AUAGAUAUGAGGAGACUUUCCCCAAAUGAUCGAAGUUGAUUUUAACUUUGCUAUUUACAUAAUUCACUCUUCUUCAAGGAGGAUUGAAUUUAUAAGCCAGAACUCUGAUCUUC